GAAGAGUGGGAUGCAGAAGGUGGCUUCUCCAUGGAGGUAGAGAGCCAGAUACUUCAAAAGGAUUCAUAAUAUUUGGAUAUGAUAGUGAUGAAGAUUGGGAGGCUCUAAGCGACGAGGAGGAAGAUAUUAAAUAUGAGAAGAUAGAGCCUAGUCUUCAUGAUGACGAGGAGCCACAAGAGUACGGUGAAGAUAGACAUGGAACAUUGGUGAUCCAUGAAGAUUUGGAGGAGCAUGAUAAGGCGAAGAAAAUUCCAGAAGGACGCGGUUGUGAAGAUCUUAGGUAUGACAAUGCUUCACUGGUUAAAGUUAUUUUAUCUUCGUACAAGGAAGCAUCUAGAGGACAGACAACUAGAAGGGUGAAGAAGAAAGAAGAGAUACAUGGAUGCAUCAAGUCUGCGGGAAACCUCCAACUGAAGACAGAGGCAUAUGAGUUGAAGAAAGAGAAGACCAUAUCACGAGGACAAGUAAAAAAAAGAUUCGUAAUGGCAGAGUGCAGAAGAUCCAAGGGCAGCGACACGCAAUGGUUCGACUACCCGAGACAAGUAUGCAUUGAGGGGGAGUGUUGAAAUAUGCAAUGCAUACUUGGAACAUUCUAGAAGAUUAUGGAGAUCUCAAGAGACUAACUUUGCCAUGUACAAGGAUAAAAUCAUGGCAAGGUAAGAAGGUUCUAAAAAAUUGGAGAGAAUGUAUGAGCUAUAGUUGCC
rnacentral:lncRNA from 1 species